UACAGAGGUCUCAAGCGUUGUUCGGAUUCAUUGGGCGUAAAGAGCGUGUAGGCGGUUCGGUAAGUCGGCUGUGAAAGUCCAGGGCUCAACCCUGGGAUGCCGGUCGAUACUGCCGGACUAGAGUUCGGAAGAGGCGAGUGGAAUUCCCGGUGUAGCGGUGAAAUGCGCAGAUAUCGGGAGGAACACCUAUGGCGAAGGCAGCUCGCUGGGACGUUACUGACGCUGAGACGCGAAAGCGUGGGGAGCGAACAGG
rnacentral:rRNA from 1 species